rnacentral:hammerhead_ribozyme from 1 species
GCAUUGCUGACGAGUCCCAAACAGGACGAAACACCUAGUCAGUAC